rnacentral:RNase_P_RNA from 1 species
AGAGUCGGCCAGACAGUCGCUGUGCCCGCGAGGGCAGGGAGGAAAGUCCGGGCUCCACAGGGCAAGGCGCCAGGUAACGCCUGGGAGGCGCAAGCCUACGGAAAGUGCCACAGAAAACAAACCGCCUGCCGUAUCGCGGGUAAGGGUGAAAAGGUGCGGUAAGAGCGCACCGCGCUGCCGGUAACGGCAGUGGCAGGGUAAACCCCGCCUGGAGCAAGACCAAAUAGGGAAGCACAUGCUUGUCAUGACCUGCGGCCCGCAGGGGCUUCCGGGUAGGUUGCACGAGGCGUCCGGUGACGGGCGUCCCAGAUGAAUGGCUAUCGAUUGCGAUUUGCAUCGUAAUACACAGAACCCGGCUUACAGGCUGUCUUCCUCC